CCUACGGGAGGCAGCAGUGAGGAAUAUUGGUCAAUGGGCGCGAGCCUGAACCAGCCAAGUAGCGUGAAGGAUGACUGCCCUAUGGGUUGUAAACUUCUUUUAUAUGGGAAUAAAGUGAAGCACGUGUGCGGUUUUGUAUGUACCUUAUGAAUAAGGAUCGGCUAACUCCGUGCCAGCAGCCGCGGUAAUACGGAGGAUCCGAGCGUUAUCCGGAUUUAUUGGGUUUAAAGGGAGCGUAGAUGGGUUGUUAAGUCAGUUGUGAAAGUUUGCGGCUCAACCGUAAAAUUGCAGUUGAUACUGGCAGCCUUGAGUACAGUAGAGGUAGGCGGAAUUCGUGGUGUAGCGGUGAAAUGCUUAGAUAUCACGAAGAACUCCGAUUGCGAAGGCAGCUUACUGGACUGCAACUGACACUGAGGCUCGAAAGUGUGGGUAUCAAACAGGAUUAGAUACCCUAGUAGUC
rnacentral:rRNA from 1 species